AGCCGCCGUAGCUCAGCCCGGGAGAGCGCCCGAGAGGUAAGACCGGGUUGUCGGGGGUUCAAAUCCCCCCGGCGGCACC
rnacentral:tRNA from 1 species